rnacentral:rRNA from 1 species
UACGAAGGGGGCUAGCGUUGCUCGGAAUCACUGGGCGUAAAGCGCGCGUAGGCGGCUUUUUAAGUCAGGGGUGAAAUCCUGGAGCUCAACUCCAGAACUGCCUUUGAUACUGGGAAGCUUGAGUCCGGGAGAGGUGAGUGGAACUCCGAGUGUAGAGGUGAAAUUCGUAGAUAUUCGGAAGAACACCAGUGGCGAAGGCGGCUCACUGGCCCGGUACUGACGCUGAGGUGCGAAAGCGUGGGGAGCAAACAGG